rnacentral:rRNA from 1 species
GUCGAACGCUGGCGGCGUGCCUAAUACAUGCAAGUCGAACGCAGUGGGGACGGGUGAGUAACACGUGGGUAACCUUCCAUCAGAGGGGAUAACACUUGGAAACAGGUGCUAAACCGAUACUGAUGGAUGGACCCGCGGUGCAUUAGCUAGUUGGUGAGGUAACGGCUCACCAAGGCCACGAUGCAUAGCCGACCGGAGAGGGUGAUCGGCAACACUGGAACGUGGACACGGCCCAGACUCCUACGUGAGGCAGCAUUAGGGAAUCUUCGGCAAUGGACGAAAGUCUGGCCGAGCAACGCCGCGUGAGUGAAGAAGGUUUUCGGAUCGGAAAGCUCUGUUGUUAGUGAAGCGGUAUCUAACCGGAAAGCCCCUGCUAACUACGUGCCAGCAGCCGAGGUAAUUC